GGGGUUGUGGCUCAAUGGGAGAGUUCUUUCCUAGCAUGUGUGAGGCGCUGGGUUCAAUUCUCAGCACCACA
rnacentral:tRNA from 1 species